rnacentral:lncRNA from 1 species
AGAAUAUUAAAGUCUAAAUUAAAGCGUGCUGGAAAAGCGUUAGCUCCUACUGUAAUAGUAAUAGCGAUAAUAAUAAAAUGACAGAAUUGGGAGCGAUUUACAUGUUAUUGAAGAGGAGGAAUUACUGAAGAGUAAUAAUAGAAAAGAAAACAAGUCGGAAGCCCGUUAUAUAAUGCACCGUGUAGACAACGAGAGUGACAGGCUAUUUUUAUUUUGUUUACCGUAUGCUGUGUAAUAGGGACUCCUCCGAACAGCAUCUCUGCCCUGUGAGCCCGAACUCCAGAUAGAAUUGGGGAAAAAUUUUAGGCAUUUCUUUUACGACCAGACGAAGAAAUCUAGUCACAUUGCAGGCCAAGCCAGAUGGGCAAGCAAUACAAGCUGUGAAUUUAUUCUUGACCCCGUAGGACAGUGA